ensembl:lncRNA EIF2AK3-DT EIF2AK3 divergent transcript
GACUGUGAAGAGGACUGUCCCAAGUGAAGAGUGGGAGGCAAGUGCCUUGUGACCGGGAGGAGGUCGACCUUAAAGGAGCUGGUAUUGUAGCUCUUCUAAAGCCUAGUCUACUUAGGAAGGCAAAAGCGAAGCAGCAAGAAGUGGCCACAGAAGCCGUGUGGUCCCUAGAAGUAGAAGGGUAAGGAGGAUGCAGGAGAUGGUCCUACUUGUGGCCGCAACGGGGCUCAGAAGUCCGCUUGUUAGAGAUGGCAGUGACCUGUGACAAUCCAGUCUGCCCGACACGCCUCCCGCCUCCUUAGGAACGGGAAGGAGCCCCGGCCCAGUGCACUGACGUAGUUAGCCUAAGAUCACGUAGCUGGUUGGUCACAGAAUCAUGACUUUAAUUCAUGUCUUCUGACUCUGACCUGGCACGCUUUGUACCUCACCAAAGACAGUGAUGAAAUUGCAAAAGGGCAGAGUGGAGAAGACUGGAAUGUUCAGCCAAGGCAUUUGAACUUUUAAUGCUGCAAGUCAAGACUUCCUGAAGAUUUUUGAGCAGAUGAGUGAAGUGAUAAGAAAAUGCAUCUUCAGCAGUGACAGCAUCAACGAGGAGGAGACUGGCCGGGAGGCUAUUACCCGCAUCAAAACCAGUGAACAUUAAAAAAAAUUUUUUUUUUAGAGAGAGGGUCUUGCUCUUUUGCCCAGGCUGGAGUGCAGUGGCUUGACCAUAGUUCUCUAUAACCUUGAAUUCCUGCGUUCAAGCGAUCUUCCUUCCUCAGCUUCCGGAGUAGCUGGGACUACAGAUGCGUGCCACCAUGCCAGGCCAAUUUUUAAUUUUGUUUUGUAAAGAUGGGGUUUCUGUGUUGCCCAGGUUGGUCUCAAAUUCCUGGCCUCAAGCCAUCCUCCCGCCUCAGCCUCCCAAAGUGCUGCAAUUUACGGGCAUUAGCCACCGCACCUGGUCCAAAACCGGUGAAGAUUUGUUAAGGUAGGACAAAGAGGAAUGACAAAAGGCAUGUAACCACCUGAAUUUGCCCCUAUCAAAGAGCUCUCCAGGAAGCACCACCAAGGAAUUUUCACUGACAUUUCCCAGGCCAGACCAUGCUGCUGCUAAGCAAAAUGAGGAUUCUGCUAGUGAGGAUGAAAGGAAGAAUGUGUAAUCAGUUUUCUUGAAGUAUAAUACAUGUACAAUAAACUGAACCUAUUGGAAAUAUACAUUUGGAUGAGUUUUGACAGAUGUAUAUACCACAGUCAAGAUACAGAACAUUCCCAUCACUCCAAGAGAUUCUUUGUGUCCCUUUGUGGUCAAUCCCUCCUACACGAGGCCCCUAGGUAACCGCUGAUCUGUUUUCCAUCACAAUAGAUUAGUCUGCAUAUUCUAGCAUCUUUAAUAAAUGCAGUCAUACAG